rnacentral:rRNA from 1 species
CUUGACGAUCAUAGAGCGUUGGAACCACCUGAUCCCUUCCCGAACUCAGAAGUGAAACGACGCAUCGCCGAUGGUAGUAACCAGUACUAAUUGCCCGUGAGGC